GCCAGGCAUGGUGGCGUGUGCCUGUAAUCCCAGCUACUCGGGGGCUGAGGCAGGAGAAUCGCUUGAACCUGGGAGGCAGAGGUUGCAGUGAGCUGAGAUCGCACCACUGCACUCCAGCCUAGGCAACAGAGCGAGACUCUGACUCAA
rnacentral:SRP_RNA from 2 species